GAUACAAAUUCAGAAUAACGAGUACGUUAUUAAAUUUAUGCAACGGAAUCAAACUAUAACAAAUUCCUUACAAAUAUAUAUAAUGUCCCAAAUACAUAAACUCAGGUCAGAAGUGGCUAUAAAAUACAAAACAUAAGGGCCAUUUCUUUCACUAUGCUACUGGAUUCAUCAGAGUACGGGAACAGUCAUACACUCAGACUUGUGGAUCCACGGGAUCUUCAUAGACUUCCAAUGGUAGGUUUGCCUAUGGUUCCUCAUUUUCUUCCU
rnacentral:lncRNA from 1 species